rnacentral:rRNA from 1 species
UACGUAGGGUGCGAGCGUUGUCCGGAAUUAUUGGGCGUAAAGAGCUCGUAGGCGGUCUGUCGCGUCGAUCGUGAAAACUUGGGGCUUAACCCUGAGCUUGCGGUCGAUACGGGCAUGACUGGAGUUCGGCAGGGGAGACUGGAAUUCCUGGUGUAGCGGUGAAGUGCGCAGAUAUCAGGAGGAACACCGGUGGCGAAGGCGGGUCUCUGGGCCGAUACUGACGCUGAGGAGCGAAAGCGUGGGGAGCGAACAGG